GUAACUUGUUGUUUUGGUCCUUGUUGACGCUCAUUACGCCAUGACGUCACUAGGCGGCGGCAGGACCCUCCGGUUUGAAAGUAAACCGACCGCAGUGGUCGGAGCGGAGCCAUCAGAUUAUCAGUUUUUGGGCGUGUUUGACUUCGAGCUCGGCCUCAGCUCACUGAGCACACGGCGCUUCGCCUCACAAGACCCGGGGGCUGUUUCUUCCUCCGUGUUCUGCUGUUUGUUUCUGCCUUUAGCUGGUUGCUAACGUAGCUUUUAAGCCAACAGUGAAAACCGUUAGCUUGUCCGUGCGCCGCCGUUGCCAUGGUGACGCUUCGAGGCAGAGGCGACGCGGGCUCCGACAGGGACCCGGAGAAGGAGCACGGGAUUUAACGAAGAGGAGGAGGAUGUGAAACCAAGGACCAUCAUCAUCAGGAAAUCUCAGAGGCUCCAGACUCCUCCAGGUGUCAGGAGGAGUGGUCUGAGGAGGAGCUCCAGGCCGACCAAACCCAUCAGGAGAUACCAGGCCUCCAACAUGACCAACGGCUUCAGCAUCAAGUGAGACCACGUUAAAAACACCAACGUUAAGAGUCUGGAUCUGACUCCAUUCGGUCUGAACAUUAGAGACUUCACGUCUGUUUUUCCAUGCACAUCAUUUUGAUUUGUCCUUCUGAGACCUGGAUUAAAGACUCAAUUCCUCUGCAGAAAGUUUUCCAGGUUUUGAGAAUUGUGGAUGAGAAGUUGGAGGAGUUGAGUUCCAGGGUUUUAGGAGGGAGUGAAGGAGGCCACAGCAUCCUCAGCCCCCAACACUGCUCCCUGUGGACAAACCAUGUAUAAGCUGUUAUAUCUGAAGCUCUGAUUUUAUAUUUGCUUGGUGUAUUUAUUUUUUUUUUUUUAUCUCUUGUGUAUGUUUGAACUGUCUAAUACUACAACACUGUAAAUAUCUGCUUUUAUUACUGUAUAUGGGGUUCUACUGCUUGGAACCCAUUGUUUUUCUACGUUUUUCUACGUUUUCUUAUUAUUACAUUUUUUUUCCAUGUUUUGUUAUUAUUACGUUUUUUUCUACGUUUUCUUGUUAUUAUUAUUCCGUCUUUUGCCAUAAGUUGGAUACCGGCCGAUAGUUAUUAAAAUUGUUUGGGUCCAAAUUGCUCUUCUUCAGAAGGGGCCUCACCAGCGCCGCCUUAAAGGAGGCAGGAAGACGCCUGUAAUUCACCAUAUAUAGCAGCUGUUCCUCAAAGAAUCCAUAACAUGUUUUAAAGGACAGUGGGAGUUGGGUCUAAUAGGGAGGUUGUGGGCUUCACUUGGGAGAAAACUCCACCAAGUGUCCUCACAUCAACCAGGACAAAACUCUCCAGUGUUUCCUCACGUAAAAUCAAUGAUCCAGGUGCAUCAAUGGUUAAAAUCUGUUAAGGUGAAAGACUCGAUGAAUGUCAUUGAUUUUACCAGUGAAGUGGUUUGCUAAGUCCUCACAAAGGGCGUCACUCGGUAUCCUUGAUGAUCUGUUAAAAUUUUUUUGUUUGUUAGACGGUCUAUUGUGGAGAAGAGGAAUUCGGGGUUGUUUUUAUGGUUUGUGAUUAGUUUAUGGAAGUGGGAGAUUCUUUCCUGUUUGACUCUGUUACUGUAAUAUUUCAUAAUGAAGCUUUGUUUUUCUCCAUCUCCUUGUCUUUAUUUCCUUUGAGAUUAAACUCAACACGUCUCUUCUUCUGCGUCCUCCUCGUCUUCAUCUGUACUUUCUGGUUCUGGUUAAUAAAUGACAGAAUAAACUGA